rnacentral:rRNA from 1 species
GUGGGAUCCCGGCCCCCUUGCUUCGCGUGGGGCCCCGGGCGCACCACCGGCCCGUNUCGCCCGCAGCGUCGGGGAGGUGGAGCGUGAGCGCGCGCNAUAGGACCCGAAAGAUGGUGAACUAUGCCUGGGCAGGGC